CAUUUUUCAGGCAAAAGCAAAGUUCUGCAGCCGGACCUACAUUGGUUGGUCCUCCUCAUUCUCAACUUCUGCUAUCUUCCCACACUCUGAUAUUUGACAUCUUCACAUCCUGUCUUGAGAAAGGGAAAAGAGAUUUCAGAUGAAUCUUAGGAAGAACUUCUGACGGAAUUCUUCAUCAUGCACCUUCCAUUUAACUGGCAUUCAAGCCACUAUUCCACACAUACUUAAAAUAAGGAGCACAAAUGGGAACCCCUCCCUGGAAUGAAAAUAACCUUGGAAUAAAAGAAAGUGAGAGUGGGUACUAUUUCCUUGCCUGCCUUUCGGCCUACGUGGAGCUCCUCACUUGGCUGCGGAGAAUUGCUAUUUCUCUCUGAGCCCUGCCUGUUGGGCCAAUCAGAAAAGAACACCAUCCACCUUGUUGCCUCCCUCGUCUCACCCGCCGCUGCUCAUCUCCUUUGCAUCACAGGAGUGGUAUCAAUGAAAACGCCAAUUCAGAUAGACGCCCAUUUUUGGAAGGCGCUCGAAAAUGAAGGCCUUACGAAUGAAACAAACAGAAAUGGAUAGUGAUUCUAUACAAAUGCACAAGUCUACUAUAGAGUCUGUGUUUCUGACCACCCGAGGUGUCCCGUGUUAACAUCCAGGCCCAUAACAUCAUCACUUUUAUAUGGUUUUUCACAUCUUUGCUUGAAGAAGCCAAUUAAUCUCCAAAUGGUUGAAUGAUUUCUUUUGUAUAUUUCAGUUGGCUCAAUAAAGUCAUCACUGUUUGUGGAUUGUGGAUUUUGUUAUAUUUCCCUUGACAAAUGUUUCUGGCAACAGGGCAAAAUCAUGAUAUCAAGACUGAUGGAUUAGGUAAAGCAUUACUAAAUGAUGUCAGAAAAACCAGAAAUACAACUGCCACUUUAAAGUUUUGUGUUUAAAUCGCAGUCUCCUCAUAAAUAAUGUUAACUGAAUCAAACAGGACUUAAUCUUCUGAAUUUAUGAAAAUUAUUGAAAAGAAAACCCCAAGUGAAAGGGGAAAACCUUGUAUUGUAAAACUGUAUUGUAAAACCCAGCAAAACUCUAAAAAGUUUGUUGAGUAAAAUGUGAUGGUAAAUGCCAGGUCUACUAAUGUAUGGCAGACCUCCUCUGAAGUAGUAAUAAUGAAAGCAAAUAAAAGGAAAAUGCAAGUAGGUCAGCCACAGGUUUCCACACAAGAUUCUCCAGUUGCUGUCUCACACCCUGCUGCUAGUUUGCCAAAGAGGAGAAGCUAUUUCCUCAUGACAGUGUAAAAUGGAUUUUAAAAAGAAAAAAUGCAAAAAGGAAAGUACUUACAAUUUCUUUAGUGAAAACAAAUUGACCAAGGUGCUUGAGUUACUUUUGAAAUAAUACUGUUGACAACCCACCUACACAAUUUCUUUAAACAAUUCUAAUUUCUCAAAAUUAAAAGGAGAAAAAUUCAAGAUAGAUUACCCAAGGGCAGAAAACUGUCAAAUACAAUUUUUCUCUUGCUUUUGCCACCUGGCAUUUGUUACUUCUUUAUUUGUUUAUGCUGAAUAACAUUUCUUGAGCAACUUAGGUAAAUUUCAUCAUUUAUUUUUGUUCCCCAUCUUCCCCCCCCCCCAAAAAGAGAGCAUUAUCUGUAAAACACAGGUGCUCAUGUUAUCUUAAUCAUAUUCCUCUAGAUACAAAUAUCUUUGUUUUUUUCCAAUGCAAAAACAAACUUUAUUGCCUUUAUUUUACUGCCUUUUUACUCAGUCAGCUCAUGGCCACUUACAAUGAGACUAAGUUGAUACUCUACACUAGUGCCUUCCAAAGUAGGUGAUAUUGCCUCCUGGGGGCACUGAAAUAAUCCAAGGAAACGGUAAUAGCCUUGAGUACAACUGGGGGCGGGGGAGAGAUUGAAUAAAAGUAAGGGGGUGGUGGAAACAAAAAGAAAGAUGCCAAUCUUGAAAAACUGUUCAUACAUGUUUCAUCUGUUGUGUAACAUAGAGUGAAAGUUGUAGUUAUUACUUUAUUUUCCAAAUGAACAGAUAAAAUGAGUGGACAAGUCUGCCAACAGGUUUUAACAAUCGAACGUUUAUAGGUGAGUGUGUUAAACAUUGUCGGUAAAUUCAGCAUACAUCAGCAGGAAUAUGUGCAUUUAAUGACUUGUUCAUAAUACAAUACUAUAAAUAGGUGGUAUGUAUGAAAUCUAACUUAGAUUUUUUCUGAAUUGUGUAACAAGCAGUUUAUAAUAGUGCAAGUACAAUAAACAUUUACAAUGUUUAAAUCAUGCUGUUGACAAAAAUAGAGCUGAACAUUAAUAAAUUGAUAGCAGCACAACAGGUUCAUUCUUCUAAUUUAGGAUUUUAAUGUUAUUUGUCAUUUUUAUUUUAAUAUUAUCUGUUAUUUUAAUUUUCUGUGUGUAAUGCAAAUAUUGCUAUGGUUGAUUUUAAUAAAUAAUAUUAUAAUGUCAAA